GGACGUGUGUGUGGCUCAGUUGGUAGAGCAUGGCACUUGCAAUGCCAGGAUUGUGGGUUUGAUUCCCGCUGUGUUCU